rnacentral:lncRNA from 1 species
GCUCGGCCGCCGGCGGGGACCGCACGCCGGGACCUGGAGGGACCUGGACCCGCCCGCGGGACUCCCGGCAAGGCUGUGGGCUGAGCCGGCGGACAGGGAGCGCGUGAGUGUGAGUGCGCGUGAGUGUGCGUGUCAGAGUGUGAGCGCGAGUGCGCGCGCGCGGCUGCGCCCCUCUCACAAGUUUGCAGCUGACGUCGAGCCUCCAAGCGUACCUUCUGCGUGAGGUCUCACCUUGGGAGGGUGAGACAAAAGUCGAAAAAUAAUUGUAUUUCUUGUUCAACUUGGUCCCCCAACUUAAAAAUACACAGCACAUUCAAGAGACGGCUGACUUGGAUAAGUCUUCUGCAGGAUGGAAGGAAUCGCUACGCCGCGCGCGUUUGUAUAAUGAAUAUGUAUUCCGUCUCCAAGGAAAGCGCUGUACCCUUCACUGCUUGGGAACCCACUGUGAAGCUAUGAACAUUCAUGAAUUCAUGCCAUGUCCUGAGCAUUUAAAAGUCAGUAUACUGUGUUACUGGAUUUUCUCUCUCUCACCGCCAGAAAGGCGCAGUCAUCAGCACCAGCGCAGUGCCACCUGGGAGUCUUCACAUGUGAGCACGCUGCCUGCCCCAACACGGUAUGUACAAGUUCUUUGAAGUUCUACUUUUUUCUUCAAAGCUCAGUAUUUUCACUCACACCAAAUACUGUUGGUUGCUUUCACUGAGGUGAAAGGUUCACUUCAUUCAUUUAAUUUCUUUUAACUAUUAGUAGUAUUUUUUUUUUUUUUUUUUUGUCUUUUUGAGACAAGGUCUCACUGUGCAGUUCAGGCUGGCCUUGUACUUACUUUGUAGCCCAGGCUGAUCUCAAACUCACAAUGAUCCUCCUGCCUCACCCUCCCAAGUACUGGGACUAUAGGUGUGCACCACCAUGCCCGGCACCUUAUUCAUUUAAGCAAACAAGAAGUCUUCCAAAUACCCAAGUCUGAAUGAUAGCAGUUUGUUAGUCAUUCCUUAGGUGAAAUCAGAUUCUGCAGGAGAAGGGGUGGCAGGUCUCAGAGCUCAUGGAUGUGUGGUUUGUCCUCCAUACAUCCGCAGUGACUUGGUGCAAAAGCAGAAGUCUUUUCUGCGUUCUUUCCACUUCUUCACACAGAAUCCUUAAAAGCCAUAAGGACUGAAAUCUAAUGAAACUAACAAUUAAUAUUGCUUCCUCCAAGAUCUUUGUAAAUGAAAUGUGCUUUUUAUAUCUCAAGGAGUGCUUGAGGGCAGUUUGGUGCCUCUGGUUCCACGCUAAGGUACUAGCAGGUUUACCCAUCACUAUCC